GACCUUGGUGUGUAUGUUGAUGCUUCCAUGUCCCAUUCUCGCCAGUGUGGGGUAGCAAUAAAAAAGGCCAAUAGGAUGUUGGGGUAUAUCUCCAGGUGUGUGGAGUUUAAGUCAAGGGAGGUAAUGCUAAGAUUAUACAAUUCCUUGGUGAGACCUCACCUAGAAUAUUGUGUGCAGGUUUGGUCACCAUAUCUUAAAAAGGACAUUGUGGCCUUAGAAAAGGUGCAGCGUAGGGCCACAAAAAUGAUUCCUGGUCUUAGAGGAAUGUCAUACGAGGAACGGUUACUUGAGCUAAAUCUGUUCAGUCUCAAGCAAAGGAGAUUGAGGGGGGACAUGAUCCAGGUAUAUAAGAUUCUAACAGGUUUGGAUGCUGUUCAACCAAAUAGUUACUUCAGCAUUAGUUUAAAUACACGAACUCGUGGCUAUAGGUGGAAAUUAGCGGGAGAACACUUCAAGCUGGAUUUAAGGAAGCACUUCUUUACACAGCGUGUAGUCGGAGUAUGGAAUAGCCUUCCUGAUAAUGUAGUGCAAGCUGAAUCCUUGGGUUCCUUUAAAUCAGAGCUAGAUAAGAUUUUAACGACUCUGAGCUAUUAGUUUAGUUCUCCCCAAGUGAGCUUGAUGGGCCGAAUGGCCUCCUCUCGUUUGUAUAGUUCUUAUGUUCUUAUGAUACUGAUAAUCAGAUGUAACUUGCAGAUUCUGAUUUUCUCUUGAAUUUUUAUAUUCAUAAACAUCAAUAUCUGAGGAUGGAUGAAUGGUGUGAGAAUGGCAAAAAAAGAGGAAGAUAUAAGAGAUUCUUGGAGGAGGAUGAUUCGCGAGUACCGAUAAAGACUAAAUACAGACGCAAGGUGACAAAGGUACAACAGACUAACAAGACCCAUUAUAAGUCAUAUAUUGAAUCCGGAAUCCCUAUUCCUAGGAAAAGUGCUUACAGGAAAAAACAAAGCAACCGCUCAGUUGAGCAUUCUGAAACAGCUAAUGAAUCUGAGCAAGAAGGUGUGGGAUUUCUUGGACAAGAGACAAAGCAACUGAAGGUAAAUAAAAUACAUUUAAGAUAAGUAGAUAUUCUGCAUGAAUGGAAACAUAUAAUAGUCUGACUGUACAUUUUAAGAUUUCAGAUGAAUUAUUUGAAGCCCAUGGCCCUGAUGUACAUGAUGAAAAUCAAACAGAUGUCGUACAGUUACAGGAAGAAAAAUGCACAUUAGUAAGUGUCACGAUCGGGUAUAAGCAGGUAGGCGAUCGUGCAGGCAAGGCGUGCAAGGAG